UAGUUCUAAGUAUCUACUCUGGUUC
rnacentral:piRNA from 1 species